AUUAAUUCUCCUCUUCGAGUCGCUGGAGGUGAUUUGUCUGUGGACACUGGGCUUGGAAGUGUUCCCUGCACAAGGAGAUGGUGAUUUCUCUUAGAACUUUACUUCCGCUCCUUGUGACCACAGGCCCUGGAGCAUGGAGGCUUGGUGCAGUAAUUAGGACUGAGAACCGGACCCGGGAGCUGUUCUGGGGAGAAAGUGGGCGGUCCAUCCCCUAAGGUCCAACGGAUUGGAAAGGCAAACACAGGAGAAACUAGUAUUUCUGUGUGCUUAGAGUGAUGCUUUGUGUGUCAUCUUGUCUGGAAGUCCUGGAAUAUUAUUUUUGCUAGUAAUUUGCUUUAAAAACCCUCUUUUCCAGAGGUCAAGGCUUCUUUUCCAAUUAGAAAUAAUGUUUACUGGAUAUCUGCUGAAUACAAAUUAAUACAUGUUUCCUGUGGAAAAUAUGAAAAAUUAUAAAGAAGAAUAAAGCACCAUCCAUAAUUUUACUCUACAAAGCCAACAGACAUAAUUUUGAUUUUAUAAUUUCAGUAUUUUAUAUGCACAUUUGUGUUGAAUAAAAGUUAAAUCAUAUUGAGCUUAUAUCUCUUUAAUCCGUUUUUUUUUUCACUUACGAGCAUUUUCCUUUUUGAAUAAGAUUCCUCUAAAAUGUAACUUUUAAUGACUGUAUAUUUAUCAUAUUUGUUUAACAAUACCAUAUUGUGAGUCACUGGGAGAAAGUCAGGUAGUUGAGUCCUCAAAUUUCAUUCUCACCUUCUUUCAUAAUAAGAGAACCCUUAUUUCAAUGGGACUAUAUUAUGUCCAGUUAAAAGCCACAUCUCCCAGCCUCCUUGGACUAGGUGUGGCCAUUGACCAAGUUCUGGCCAAUGAUAUGUAAGGAGAAUAGUUAUCAGCAAUUUAAAGAAAAAAAAGGGGGCUGACUCAGUUGAAAGCAGCAUUCUUUUGCUUUUGCCUCCUAUCAACUUCCCACUGCAUGGGAUGAGGAGGCGAUGGCUGGAGUUCCAACAGGCAUCUUGGAUCACGAAAUAACCUCAGAAAGCUGUUUCCUGAAGAUGCUGAACUGGCAAGAAAGAAACCCUAGUCCUUGAUGAUAUUGUGAAGACACCAUAUUAGCAUGGAUGGCCUAUUUCUGAAUUUCUUUCAGGUGAGAAAGAAAUAUAUUUAUAUUUUAUUUAAAUGUUCUCUUAUACGCAGACAGACCUAAUUCUAACACAGAUACUUAGACUGAUUCCGAUUUUUGCUGUUAUAAGUUAUGCUGUAAUUAACAUACUUGUUCAAAGGUCUCUGUGCAUUUGUCUGAGAAAUUUGAAGAUGUAUUUCUAGAAGUUGAAUCAUAAAUUAAAAGUUUUAUGAACAUUUUAAAUUGA